GCCCUGGCAAUCACUAUUCCAGUCUCUGCUUCUAUGAGUUUGACUAUUUUAGAUUCCACAUGUAGUGUCAAAAAAGUGAAGCCAUGAGAUCAACAGGAUGUAGCAAAUCUGGGGCUACGUUUCUAAGAUUUCCCUUCACUGAAGAGUUCCAAGUUACUGGAAGAAACUUGGAACAAAAGGAGUUCUGCAUGAAUUUUGAAAGGUCUACUGACUCAACGGGCAGUCAGAUAUGUAAGAUGGGUAUAAAGUGGUGAGAGUGAGGACAAACCCAUAAUCAAUGUCUGGAUCCCUGAUGAACUGAGACUCACAUUGAUCUUUCAAUAUGUUCAAGCCUCCAACUGGAAUGAUUUGGUUAUCCUGCAGGAAAUGCUGGAGUCCUUCAUCAGAGUGGUAAAUGGCACUUGUGACAAAAAUCAAAGUAACUGAAAAAGAAUCUGGUUGAAACCUCAGUAACAAUCGGCCUGUCUACUGCCUCACACUAACAAGCCUGUACAAGAAACAUAGUGCCAACAUCUGCUUCUGGUGAGGACCACAGGAAGCUUCCAAUCAUGGCCUAAGAAAUGUGGAGCCUGCGUGUCACAUGAUAAGAGAUGGAACAUGAGAAAGAGGCAGGAGGAGAAAGUGACCACACCUUUACAACUGUCUGUAAUUCUCACUAGCAGUAUAUUAGAGGGCAAAAGAUUUGAACAGACAUAUCAGAAAAGAAGACAUACAAAUGGCCACUAAGCGCUUAAAGGAUUCUGAACAUCAUUAGUCAUCAGUGAAAUGCAAAUUAAAGCCAUAAUGAAUGACGCUAUACAUUUUCAGAAUGGCAAGGACUAAAGACUGAAAAAAAUCAAGCGUUGAGGAGAGUGACAAAUGGGGAGACAGCUGUGGUGCAUGAUCGCAGAAGAAAUACCAUGUGAGGAUACAGCAAGAAGUUGGCCAUCUACAAGCCAAGGAGACAGGCCUCAGAAGAAACCAACCCUUCUUACACCCUGGACUCAGACUUCUAAUCUCCAGAACUUGUUAAUGCACAAGGUCUUGUGUUGAAAAUGUAGAGCUACAAGAUAAAAGCAGCUUGGAUGGCUGACUCAUAUACAAGGACAACUGCCUGAGAGUCACCAGGACUAUCAAGAAGUUUGCAGAAA